AAAUUUGGGAUGGGACUGUGAGCGAUCUUGGCCAGGAUUGGGUUUCAUUUCUUUGGGCGCCCCUGACCUUGCCUUCUCCAACUCGGAACGCUUCGCCCGCCCCCUCCCCGGCCUGCGCCUGCCUUUGUGUGUGCCUGUCACUUACCGGGGAACAGAACGAAGCUGAUUCGGGGGCAACACAAAGCCAACACAAGGAUUUGCACAGAUUCUCUCACACACAUUUCUUAAACUGGAAGGCAGCCCACGCAGAGCUUGUGAACCCUGAGAAAAGUGGGUUCUGAUCUUGUUUGGGGGAGCAGAGAAACUAUUCUUUCCUCUCUCACUCAGCGCCACUAACAAAACGCGCGGACUCCAGAGAAAAGAAGAAGAAGAAGAAGAAGAAGAAAAAAAAAAAAAAAAAAACCAAAAACUCCACAUAGUGGAUCUUGAAUCCACUCACUGUGACAUUUGUCUUGUGUAGUCGCCCAGAGAGGGACAAAUGUGCUGGAAGCCGGAGACACAAACCCACAGGACCCAAACAAACAUCACUGGAGAGAAAAAGAGUCAAAAACACCGGGUCCGUGUUCUUUCCGGGGUGUCUGAGGAGGAACGAGGGGGCUCCCAGGACUUACACUGAGGACGGGGGGGGGAAGAGGAUCCAAGGGGGAAGCGGUGGUCCCCCCAACACGAACUCUUUCAGAAAGGCAGCCCCAGGAAAACACUCACUUUCCCGAGACCCAAAGGCCGGGAGAGCGGCUGGUGGGAGGUACAAAGGAGCUGAACCAAGGGCUUCACAAAUUUAGGAAAACAGUCUACCAGUGAACUACACCCUUGGAUUGAGUAAAGAAAUUAAAAACACUCCUUUUCAAGCAGGAUCUCACUAAGGUUUUGCUAGUGAGAUGGCUCAGCUUGCUGUGUGAACCUGCCCAACGGAGUGCAAUCCUGGAAGCAUGGUGGAAGGAGAGAACUGAUUCCUCAAGGUUAUCCUCUGACCGCCUCACAAACACCGUGGCUUUCAUGUGCCUGAAUGCACGCACAUGAAUGUACAUCAAGCCCACAUUACAAUCCCCCCCUCCAAAAAAAAACCCAUACAAAACAGAAAGGAGGGUCUCAGGUAGCCCAGGAUGACCUUGAACUACUGGCUUUCUUUACAGGCAUACAACAGCAGGUCCAUCUAGUUCCUUUUUACUGAUGUAUAGCUGGCAAAGAUCUAUGCCCCAUUCUGUAGUUUCCUUUGAUGUACAGAAGCUUUUACAUUGAGGAGCCAGAGAGGACAAGGACAACACAAGAAAGCUCAAAGAAUCAACUAAGCUGGACUCAUGAAGGCUCACCAUGCCCCGCUGAUUCACCAUUUUCAACAACAUUAAAAAUACAC